rnacentral:lncRNA from 1 species
ACUUUAACUUCUGAAGCUAGGUGAAUGAGUAGAUGUACCAUAAUAAUGAAAAAUCCAGGAGAAAAAUUUUUUUCCAUCUGGCAAAGUAUAAUUGCAAUAUCGGAUUCUAACUGAUCAAGUUCUCGAGGAUCAAUAACUUUUGAACAUAAUGCCUUAAAGAAUGAUGAUAAUCGAAGUACAAUUGUAACAACUUGUUUCGGCA